UACAGAGGGGGCAAGCGUUGUUCGGAAUUACUGGGCGUAAAGGGCGCGUAGGCGGCCCGCUAAGUCGAACGUGAAAUCCCCAGGCUCAACCUGGGAACUGCGUCCGAUACUGGCAGGCUUGAAUUCGGGAGAGGGAUGCAGAAUUCCAGGUGUAGCGGUGAAAUGCGUAGAUAUCUGGAGGAAUACCGGUGGCGAAGGCGGCAUCCUGGACCGACAUUGACGCUGAACGGCGAAAGCUAGGGGAGCAAACGGG
rnacentral:rRNA from 1 species